UCACACUCCUCAUUUACAUUCUCAACGCUUUCUUCCCUCUUUUAUCUCUCAGACUUUUCUGUUCUCCUCCUCUCUUUUUGCUCGUGAAUAGCAGCCUCAAAACCAAGAAAAACAAAAACCAAUAGCAACCCCAAAAUCAUCUUAAACAAUCAACUAACAAAUAACAAUAAUAAUUUAACUUGUAAAGGAGCAAAGGAUAAACAAUACUUGGAGUUUUUGGAGGUUAAAGGCCACGGAUCUCAGCCCUCAAAAGUCAUAUAUUUGAGCCAUUAUAGGUAAUUGAAUUAAGUUUAUUACGGUGGUGAAUGUGAGAAUGAAGAAAAGUUUUCCUUUUUCAUGAUUAUGAAGAUAAAGGGUGUUUAAUGCAAGACAUGAUGAAGAAGCAAGAACAGAGAAAGAAAAAGUUAAAGUGAAAGUUUGAAGAACAGAGAGAGUUUAUUGGGAGAGAGAGUAAUGGAAAAGUUAGAGUAAGUUGAGCAGAAGAAAUGAUCGAUGAACCGAACCCCCUUGAACUUGUUUCUUCUUCAUUGUUCUUUUCUUUUUUAUUUUUUUCUUCCACCACUUCACACCGAGUUUCUCCAAACAGGGGUGUUUUCCUUUUAAGGUGUAGAGCGAGAGAAAAAAACGAAUAGUUUUUCCAUUUUGAUUUGUAAUGUUACCGAAUGUGCAUGAAUUUGUUAAAUGUGUGUAAGAAAAGCCCAAUAAAACAAUAACUUACUUUGAUUAAAAAACCAAAACAAAAACCUCGCAUAUGGUUCUUAAUA